GGUGCAGCCUACUAGGGAGGAGACAUGAUCACACCGUGCUCUCUCAUGGAGACUUGACUUUAGCAAACCACAAAAGUACAAUUCUAAAAGACAACAUGAUUCUGCUUGAAAGGUGCUGUUUGGUCUUUGUUUAAGGGAAAGCUUACAAGAGAUGAAGAUUUCUGCUGUGCUAUAUGUGGCCCAGAGGGGUUGUUGGUUGACAACCCCACGGCUCUCUGGGAGGAGAGACAAGAUGGAGCUCCUUGAGUCUGACUGUUUUCAUCGUUCUCAUGGCUCUUCUCUGAACUCCAAUUUAUCAGCAUCCUUCUUGGAUUGUGGACACCAGAACUGGGCACAGUAUUCUGGCAGUGGCUGCACCACAGUAUAGAGGUAAAUCCACACCUUGACGCACAUUUGGAACUCCUGAUUUUCACCCUACAGCAGAGAUAAAGCAUGUUUAUUUUGGAUAUAUGUCCGUGACUAUGUUUGCAUUAAUGUCUGGGAGUUCAUAUACAUGUGAAUGUGCAUAUGUACAGGCUACUGCUGAUGUGGCCUUGAGGUUCCCCCUCUACAUGAAAAUCUUGAGCCAGAUAAGGAGAAAGAAGAGGACUCAGACUGACAUGUUCAAUAAGUUCCUGCAAGCCAGUGCUGCAUCAGACUGAACAGAGGGCCUGAGGGGUGAGCAUUGCACACUGUGUGGAGAAGGAAAGAGUGGAAAGGAGAAAAGCCGAGAAGUCGGAGUUGGAGAUGGGUCUUCUCUGGUAGCAAACACAGAUGCUGCAGACUCAUGGAAAACUCCACUGCAGCACCUCCCUACAUCCCUCUCAACAUUCCACAUGGCAUUGAGGGCCACAUCCGUACCCCACCAUUUCACUCCGGGGGAAAUUGACAACCACAACUUCUCAUACACUGGCCAGUGAGAGCCACGGUUGAUGUAUAUGUAGCUAAAAUGGACAUGAAUGUUCCUUCCCCUUCUUUAAAUUCUGUUCCAUAAAUUUGUUAAGGUUUUAAUGUAUUUGCUUUU